rnacentral:rRNA from 1 species
CGCUAUCACUCCUACGGGGAGGCAGCAGUGGGGAAUAUUGCACAAUGGGCGCAAGCCUGAUGCAGCCAUGCCGCGUGUGUGAAGAAGGCCUUCGGGUUGUAAAGCACUUUCAGUCGUGAGGAAGGUAGUGUAGUUAAUAGCUGCAUUAUUUGACGUUAGCGACAGAAGAAGCACCGGCUAACUCCGUGCCAGCAGCCGCGGUAAUACGGAGGGUGCGAGCGUUAAUCGGAAUUACUGGGCGUAAAGCGCAUGCAGGUGGUUUGUUAAGUCAGAUGUGAAAGCCCGGGGCUCAACCUCGGAAUAGCAUUUGAAACUGGCAGACUAGAGUACUGUAGAGGGGGUAGAAUUUCAGGUGUAGCGGUGAAAUGCGUAGAGAUCUGAAGGAAUACCAGUGGCGAAGGCGGCCCCCUGGACAAAGACUGACGCUCAGAUGCGAAAGCGUGGGGAGCAAACAGGAUUAGAUACCCUGGUAG